rnacentral:misc_RNA from 1 species
AAGGAUCAUUAACACGAAUUUUUAUCCAAUAUCAAAACAUCACGGUCACUUUUCCCCUCCCUACUGAUUUUAAAGCGAUUUGGAAUCUUUAGGCUAACCUUUGUAUUUUGAUUAAUUUCAAAGUACAAACAUUUAAUUUUUAACCACUUUAAUUUAACUCUUUUGUACUUAAUUGUACAAAACUAACUAAUUUACACAGAAUAAAUCUUAACGGAUUCUAUUCUUGUUGUAUUUUCAUUUACGAAAUUACAAUAUCUUAUUAAGAACAACUCUUAACAAUGGAUAUCUUGGUUCUC